rnacentral:lncRNA from 1 species
GAUUCCUUAUCGAAACCUUGAUAUUUUCUCCUUCAUCGCUCUCCUUUCUUUCUCUUCUUAUCUUACUAGACUAUUAUAUAUCUCUCUCUCUAAAUCUUGAAAAAUGGAAUAAUGGAAGUGUGGAGAGGAAGGGAAGGGGAAUGAAAUUUAUAGAGUUUUGAAAUAAUCAAAUUCGUGCUAAGUGGCAAAAUUUGGUGAAGAGAGAGGAGAAAAAUAUUCUC